rnacentral:tRNA from 1 species
GCCUGGGUGGCUCAGUCGGUGAAGCGUCCGACUUCGGCUCAGGUCAUGAUCUCGCGGUUUGUGGGUUCGAGCCCCGCGUCGGGCU